AUUGAACGCUGGCGGCAGGCCUAACACAUGAAAGUCGAACGAGUGGCGGACGGGUGAGUAAUGUCUGGGAAACUGCCCGAUGGAGGGGGAUAAAUACUGGACACGGUAGCUAAUACCGCAUACCAUCGGAUGUUCCCAGAUGGCCUUAUCUAGUAGGUGGGGUAAUGGCUCACCUAGGCGACGAUCCCUAGCUGGUAUGAGAGGAUGACCGGCCACACUGGAACUGAGACACGGGCAAGAUCCCUACGGGAGGCAGAAGUGGGGAAUAUUGCACAAUGGGCGAAAGCCUGAUGCAGCCAUGCCGAGUGUAUGAAGAAGGCCUUCGGGUUGUAAAGUACUUUCAGCGAGGAGGCGUUAAUCGAAGAAGAAGCACCGGCUAACUCCGUGACAGCGGCCGCGGUAAUUC
rnacentral:rRNA from 1 species